rnacentral:rRNA from 1 species
GAGUUUGAUCCUGGCUCAGGAUGAACGCUGGCGGCAUGCCUAAUACAUGCAAGUCGAACGAGAGGAGAAGAAGCUUGCUUCUUUGAAUCUAGUGGCGAACGGGUGAGUAACACGUAGGUAACCUGCCCAUGUGCCCGGGAUAACUUCUGGAAGCGGAUGCUAAAACCGGAUAGGUAGCAGACAAGCAUUUGACUGCUAUUAAAGUGGCUUUGGCCAUGAACAUGGAUGGACCUGCGGUGCAUUAGCUGGUUGGUGAGGUAACGGCCCACCAAGGCGACGAUGCAUAGCCGGCCUGAGAGGGCGGACGGCCACAUUGGGACUGAGACACGGCCCAAACUCCUACGGGAGGCAGCAGUAGGGAAUUUUCGUCAAUGGGGGGAACCCUGAACGAGCAAUGCCGCGUGAGUGAGGAAGGUCUUCGGAUCGUAAAGCUCUGUUGUAAGAGAAAAACGGCACUCAUAGGGAAUGAUGAGUGAGUGAUGGUAUCUUACCAGAAAGUCACGGCUAACUACGUGCCAGCCGCCGCGGUAAUUC